rnacentral:scRNA from 1 species
GUGGCCUGGCGCUCGCGGGCGUUCUUCUCGGC